AGCAGGGGGCGCAGGCCCUGGCUUUGGAGGGGUGGCUGGUGGAGGCUAUCCAGGAUACACAGGGGCGGGACAAAAAUCCAAGGCACAGAAAGCAGCCAAAUACGCAGCCAUGCAGGCCCUGCUUGGCGCUGGAGGCUACAGAGGCGCAGGCUGUCAGGGUAAAUACUGCGGCCGGCGGAGGAAGUGAAGAGCGGGCCAAAGGAAAUGACCUCAUUGAAACAACAGUGGUGCUAUCACGUGACCCCAGAUUGGAAACGUCUCUCCUGCCAAACCCACCGAAGCUUCGACACACGCCGCAUGUUUUCGUUUAGUUUUGCUGAAGUGCUUCUCAGCCUGUUAGGAUGCUGAUUUCUUCACACAAGGUGAAACCUGUACAAUUCCGAAUUUAGAGGUUGAAUAGAAGCCGCUCUAGUUCCGAAUUGUUUUUGCACAUUUGCAAUGUUACUAAAUGAAUCACCUUGUAACUCUCUGGGGAUCCUGACCAAGAGGCUGAGAACCACUGAAAUACAGGAAUAGAGGUUUCUUUUUGUUCUGUUUUGUUUUUCAUUAAGGAAAAGCUGCACUAUACUACAGCUUGUGUUUGUUGUUGCUGAUCAUUAUUUGCGUUCCUGUGCAAGUAUCGCCAUGAAUCCUCCGGGUUCAGGCCGAUACCGAGGACUCCCUCAGGGCAGCUCCUUCAGACCUGUCUGCAUGCUGACGCCAAAUGAAAAGCACGUCUCCGAGGCAGCACUUUUAUCCAGUCAGACUGGAUUGGCCUCACGUCUGCAGAGUUUCACAGUCUUAUCAGCUUUUAAUUCACUGCUUUUGACAUUUACUCAAAACAUCUGGAUGAUCUGUCUCUGGAUUUAUACGCGCUAAGAACGAGAACGACUGCUAAUCCAGGGGAGAAAGAACAAGAAGGGAGUUAUUUUCUCUGUUUGAAGGAUCAUUAUUAGAACUGUUAUCGGGCCUCAGCUGCACUUUUCACAGCAGCUGAAGGUUUAUUUGCUUCCAUCACAACUUUAAAGGCCAUGUUUUAACGCUACAUAACACUUUGCGGUAUUACAUUAUUGGCUGACAGUUUUCCUCCGGAUGUGUCUGUCGGACCGGUAUCUGGCCUCUGUCGAACUUCUAGAUUCGCUGUUGAGGGAAGCUUUCGAAAAGAAAUGAAUGUGAGGACGGGAAACGGCAUCGGGGAGCACUGAUUACUGUGUUUUUCUUCUUUUGUACCUCCUUCAACACUGUUGGUAAACUGUUCACGUUUACUAGACUUUUUAAAUUAUGCUGAGAAAUAUAUUUAGUCUCAAUUUACAAAUUCAAUGCAUUAGUGCAGUAUUAAAUAUUUGAUUCAGUUAUUUUGUGUGUGAGUGUUUUAACCGUUUUUAAACUUUUGUACCGUGAUAAAUAUGAGUGCUUUGUUUUCUACAGUGUCCUUGAAUUUCAUUAGGAUU